rnacentral:rRNA from 1 species
CCUACGGGUGGCAGCAGUGGGGAAUAUUGGACAAUGGGCGAAAGCCUGAUCCAGCCAUGCCGCGUGUGUGAAGAAGGCCUUCGGGUUGUAAAGCACUUUCAGUGGGGAAGAAAGCCUUGGGGCUAAUACCCUCGAGGAAGGACAUCACCCACAGAAGAAGCACCGGCUAACUCCGUGCCAGCAGCCGCGGUAAUACGGAGGGUGCGAGCGUUAAUCGGAAUUACUGGGCGUAAAGCGGGCGUAGGCGGUCUGAUAAGCCGGUUGUGAAAGCCCCGGGCUCAACCUGGGAACGGCAUCCGGAACUGUCAGGCUAGAGUGCAGGAGGGGAAGGUAGAAUUCCCGGUGUAGCGGUGAAAUGCGUUGAGAUCGGGAGGAAUACCAGUGGCGAAGGCGGCCUUCUGGACUGACACUGACGCUGAGGUGCGAAAGCGUGGGUAGCAAACAGGAUUAGAUACCCGGGUAGUC